rnacentral:lncRNA from 10 species
UCUGAAGUGGAAGCUUUCUGGAAGUGGAGGAAAUUCUGUGAUUGGAUAUUUUAAUAAAUCUUGUUUAGAAAGUGGGAAGAAUGAAGUGCGAUUAAAGCUGAAAUUGGUAAGGAAGCAGCAGCCACCCUCAUUAGCUAGCAUAUUGGGUAUAGUAGGCUGAAUAAUGGCUGCCAAAGAUAUCAGGUCCUAAUCCCUGAAACCUGUGAAUGCUGCCUUAGAUGGAAAAGUUGUCUUUGCAGAUUAAAUUAAGGGUCUUGAGAUUGGGGAGAUUAUCAGGGUGGGUCCUAAAUAUGAUCAUAAGUGUCUUUAUAAGAGAGAGACAGAAGAAAACUCUCUCUCUCUCUCUCUCUCAGGAGAAGGCAAUAUGAAGAUAGAGACAAUGGAGAUUUUAAAACGUUGAUUGGUGGAGACUGGAAAGUUGUGGUCAGAAGCCAAGGAAUGCUGACAGCCACCAUAAACUGGAAGAGGGUCUUGCUCUAUUGCACAGGAGUGCAGUGGUACAAUCAUGGCUGUCUGCGGCCUCAAUCUCCCUGGCUUAAGCAAUCCUCCUGCCUCAGCCUCCCAAAGUAGCUGGGACUACAGGUGAGUGUCAACGUGCUCCACUAAUAAUUUUUUUAUUUUUUUAUUUUUUUUUGAGACGGAGUCUCGCUCUGUUGCCCAGGCUAGAGUGCAGUGGCGCAAUCUCGGCUCACUGCAAGCCCCGCCUCCUGGGUUCACACCAUUCUCCUGCCUCAGACUCCCGAGUAGCUGGGACUACAGGUGCCUGCCACCAUGCUCGGCUAAUUUUUUUGUAUU